rnacentral:rRNA from 1 species
AGUGAACGCUGGCGGUAGGCCUAACACAUGCAAGUCGAACGGCAGCACAGUAAGAGCUUGCUCUUACGGGUGGCGAGUGGCGGACGGGUGAGGAAUACAUCGGAAUCUACUUUUUCGUGGGGGAUAACGUAGGGAAACUUACGCUAAUACCGCAUACGACCUACGGGUGAAAGCAGGGGAUCUUAGGACCUUGGGCGAUUGAAUGAGCCGAUGUCGGAUUAGCUAGUUGGCGGGGUAAAGGCCCACCAAGGCGACGAUCCGUAGCUGGUCUGAGAGGAUGAUCAGCCACACUGGAACUGAGACACGGUCCAGACUCCUACGGGAGGCAGCAGUGGGGAAUAUUGGACAAUGGGCGCAAGCCUGAUCCAGCCAUACCGCGUGUGUGAAGAAGGCCUUCGGGUUGUAAAGCCCUUUUGUUUGGAAAGAAAAGCAGCAGGUUAAUACCCCGCUGUUCUGACGGUACCCAAAGAAUAAGCACCGGCUAACUUCGUG